rnacentral:rRNA from 1 species
UACGGGGGGGCAAGCGUGUUCGGAAUUACUGGGCGUAAAGGGCUCGUAGGCGGCCAACUAAGUCAGACGUGAAAUCCCUCGGCUUAACCGGGGAACUGCGUCUGAUACUGGAUGGCUUGAGAUUGGGAGAGGGAUGCGGAAUUCCAGGUGUAGCGGUGAAAUGCGUAGAUAUCUGGAGGAACACCGGUGGCGAAGGCGGCCCGCUGGGCAGUGACUGACGCUGAGGCGCGACAGCGUGGGGAGCAAACAGG